CCUACGGGAGACAGCAGUGGGGAAUAUUGCACAAUGGGGGAAACCCUGAUGCAGCAACGCCGCGUGAGUGAAGAAGUCUUUCGGUAUGUAAACCUCUUUUAUCAGGGAAGAAGAUGACGGUACCUGAGUCAGAAGCCCCGGCUAAAUACGUGCCAGCAGCCGCGGUAAUACGUAUGGGGCCAGCGUUAUCCGGAUUUAAUGGGUGUAAAGGGAGCGUAGACGGUGAGACAAGUCUGAGGUGAAAGCCCGGGUCUCAACCCCGUGACUGCUUUGGAAACUGCCUGACUGGAGUGCUGGAGAGGCAAGCGGAAUUCCUAGUGUAGCGGUGAAAUGCGUAGAUAUCAGGAAGAACACCAGUGGCGAAGGCGGCUUGCUGGACAGUAACUGACGUUGAGGCUCGAAAGCGUGGGGAGCAAACAGGAUUAGAUACCCGAGUAGUC
rnacentral:rRNA from 1 species